UACAGAGGGUGCGAGCGUUGUCCGGAAUCACUGGGCGUAAAGGGCGCGUAGGUGGUGGCUUAAGCGUGCGGUGAAAGCUCGGGGCUCAACUCCGAGUCGGCCGUGCGAACUGGGCUCACUGGAGCAUAGUAGAGGCAGGUGGAAUUCCGGGUGUAGCGGUGGAAUGCGUAGAUAUCGGGAGGAACACCGGUGGCGAAGGCGGUUCUCUGGGCCUUACCUGACGCUGAGGAGCGAAAGCGUGGGGAGCGAACAGG
rnacentral:rRNA from 1 species